AACCUUGCCGGCCAGGAGGAUUCCCUCCUGGGUCGGCGAGGUUGUACCAUUGACCAGGAGGGAAUCCUCCUGGUCGGCGAGGUU
rnacentral:miRNA from 1 species